AUUGAACGCUGGUGGCAGGCCUAACACAUGCAAGUCGAGCGAGCGGCGGACGGGGGAGUAAUGUCUGGUAAACUGCCUGACGGAGGGGGAUAACUACUGGAAACGGUAGCUAAUACCGCAUACCAUCAGUUGUGCCCAGAUGGGAUUAGCUAGUAGGUGGGGUAAUGGCUCCCCUAGGCGACGAUCCCUAGCUGGUCGGAGGGGAUGACCAGCCCUCCUGGACCUUGUACAGGGUCCAGACUCCUACGGGAGGCAGCAGUGGGGAAGAUUGCACAAUGGGCGCAAGCCUGAUGCAACCAGGCCGCGUGUGUGAAGAGGGCCUUCGGGUUGUAAGGCACUUUCAGCGGGGAGGCGUUACUCGCAGAAGAAGCACCGGCUAACUCCGUGCCAGCAGCCGCGGUAAUUC
rnacentral:rRNA from 1 species